rnacentral:rRNA from 1 species
UACGUAGGGGGCAAGCGUUGUCCGGAAUUAUUGGGCGUAAAGAGCUUGUAGGCGGUUUGUCGCGUCUGCCGUGAAAUUCGAGGCUCAACCCCGAGCCUGCAGUCGAUACGGGCAGACUAGAGUGCUGUAGGGGAGACGUGGAAUUCCCGGUGUAGUGGUGAAUGCGUAGAUAUCGGGAGGAACACCAGUGGCGCAAGCGGCUGACUGGCCGAGACCUGACGCUGAGACGCGACGGCGGUGGGGAGCAAACCGG